rnacentral:lncRNA from 1 species
UGUAUUUGAAAAACAUUAAUUUAGUCCUUCUUAACUACAAGUAUUUAGAUACGUACUACAAUAAACUAUCCAGUCACGUAGCUCAUGAAUUGAAUACACAUCGACAAUAAAACAGACUGCUCAAAGCCCAAGCACACGAUAAGAUCGAUCAGGGUGACACUUGCCUCACUUUGCUUUCCUGACUCCGCAAACAACGUUAUCUAGAUUGCGAAUCUCCGGUUUAAACAAAGGGCGACUUGUAUCACCCAUUCUUCAGCUCUCUUCCUCCUUGUUCUCAGAGCUAAGACAGCUGGUGCGUAUAUUAAAAAACACGGCAAUACUCUACUUCUACUAGAAAGCUAGGUAGCUUGAGCACAUCGAACGCAACGCAUGAAGGAGCGUUGAUUAUUUCUU